CCUGAAGGCAUUGACGGAUGGGCACUACAAUGGCGUGGAGCUUGCGGCUCAAUUUGACUCAACGCGCGAAAGCUUAUCAGGCCCGGACACUGGAAGGAUUGACAGAUUGACGGCUCUUUCUUGAUUCUGUGAGGAGUGGCGCAUGGCCGUACCGAGUUCGUGGAGCGAUCUGUCUGGUUAAUUCCGCUAACGAACGAGACACUGACCUACCAAAUAGGCGUCUCGACCCACAGGGUCGGAGGCGGUCUUCUUAGAGGGAUCACCCGGCCGACCAAGCCGGGGGAGACAGUGCAAUUACAGGUCUGGAAUGCUCUCAGAUGUCCUGAGCCGCACGCGAGCUACAUUGAAGGAGGAAGCGGGCGGAUUCGCCCCGGCCGAGGGGUCGGGGGAACCGAGAUAAACUCCUUCGUGAUGGGGAUCGGAGAUUGUAAUUGUUCCCCUUGAACGAGGAAUGCCUAGUAUGGGCGGGUCACGAGCCCGCGCCGAAUAAGUCACUGCCCAUUGUCCACAUCGCCCGUCGAUCGUUUCGAUGGAGCGGGCGAGCGAGGUCUUCGGACUGGCGGUCGGAGGGUUUCCCGUUCGCGGGGGCCCGCCGUCUCGUCGGAAAGUCGACCGAACUCGUCCGCUUAGAGAACCGGCAAGUCGUAACA
rnacentral:rRNA from 1 species